CUUUGUCGCGCCCUGAGAUUUCUCAGCAGGACUCCCCUUCCUCAUCCCAUCACUGCGGGAGCAGACGAGGACCACUGGCAGACCAGGGCAGUCGAGGUGGAAGGACUGAUACCGUGGAUACACUACACCUGCCUGAAGAAGAUGUCCGACCACAGUGGACUGUGAGGGAGAAAGGACCCCUCCGACUAACAAUUAAGAAAGAUGUAUAAACUAUG